GACAGAGGGUGCAAACGUUGUUCGGAAUUACUGGGCGUAAAGCGCGUGUAGGCGGCAAGGCAAGUCGGGUGUGAAAGCCCUGGGCUCAACCCAGGAAGUGCAUUCGAUACUGCCAAGCUAGAGUCCCAGAGAGGAUGGUGGAACUCUCGGUGUAGAGGUGAAAUUCGUAGAUAUCGAGAAGAACACCGGUGGCGAAGGCGGCCAUCUGGACGGUGACUGACGCUGAGACGCGAAAGCGUGGGGAGCAAACAGG
rnacentral:rRNA from 1 species